UCAUGGUAAGAGAAAGUAAAAGUGUAAAGACUGACUCUUCUUGCACUUUUGUUCUUUUUAGAAUAAAUGGGAAGGAAGACAUGUCUUUAUAUUACAAAAAACAAAAAUACAAAUCUUAAAAGAUAUACUAACUAUAUAUAUAUAUAUAGACACGUUGCAUGUUUCUUACAUGAAGUAUCAUGUUGUUUAUGUAUGGUUAUGUUACAAAAAAUAUGUAAAAAGUUCCAAUUUUUUUUAUGCAUCAUCAACCAGCAGCAAAAGUAUGGUGGUCACCGGCCCUAUCUUCGACGCUCGACGUCCCAGUUCGUACCUCGUCUGUCACAUGGUAAAGUUCUACGCCUAACUACAUCCCCUGAAGUCAACGUGCAUAUCAUAGAAGUGUCUUGAAGAUGACGGAUGGCGUUGAAUGAUGGAGAAAGAUGAUAGAAAACAUGUGAAACAUCGUCAACGAGUAGCAAAAGUAUGGUGGUCAUUGUCUUGGCCUUCUCCGCUCGAUGUCCCAGUUCAAACCCCAUCCGUCCCAUCGAAGGAUACUACGCUGUACCAUGUCCACUUAAGUCAACGUGCAAGUUACCGAAAUGGCUGAAAGAUAAGAAUGGUGGUGAAUAUUGGGGAAAGAAGGAAGAGAUGUACAGAAUACAGAAGGCUGCAAAAGUAUGGUGGCUUCUCUACUUGAUGUUUACUUGUUUAAUGGAAAGAGUGUUCUUCCAAGUCCACUAAUGUCCAUGUGCUAGUUGCAAGAGCGUCUGAAAGAUGAGUAAAGGUGGUGAAUGAUGAAGAAAGGUGAUGGAAAGAUAUAUUAAGGCGAGAACAUAAGUUGAUAUAUCUUUUUUAUUUUUUCUUCAUAAUUUUAUGAAACAAUUUUGAUAACAUAGAAUGAACCCGCGCUCAAUUGUGCUGCAGCCUUAAGUAAUUUUCUGUAGCUGAAUGUUCCCGUUGCAAAAUGAUU